rnacentral:misc_RNA from 1 species
GAUGAAGAACGUAGCGAAAUGCGAUAAGUAAUGUGAAUUGCAGAAUUCAGUGAAUCAUCGAGUCUUUGAACGCACAUUGCGCCAUGUGGUAUUCCGCAGGGCAUGCCUGUUCGAGCGUCAUUUCAACCCUCAAGCUCUGCUUGGUGUUGGGCCACGCCCCCGCGGCCGGCCCCAAAGCUAGUGGCGGUGCCGUCUGGCUCUAAGCGUAGUACAUCUCUCGCUCUAGGGCCCGGCGGUUGCUUGCCAGAACCCACACUCUUAUGGUUGACCUCGGAUCAGGUAGGGAUACCCGCUGAACUUAAGCAUAUCAAUAAGCGGAGGA